GAGUUUGAUCGUGGCUCAGAUUGAACGCUGGCGGCAUGCCUUACACAUGCAAGUCGAACGGCAGCAUGAUCUAGCUUGCUAGAUUGAUGGCGAGUGGCGAACGGGUGAGUAAUACAUCGGAACGUGCCCUGUAGUGGGGGAGUAACUAGUCGAAGAUUAGCUAAUACCGCAUACGACCUGAGGGUGAAAGUGGGGGACCGGCAAGGCCUCAUGCUAUAGGAGCGGCCGAUGUCUGAUUAGCUAGUUGGUGGGGUAAAGGCCCACCAAGGCGACGAUCAGUAGCUGGUCUGAGAGGACGAUCAGCCACACU
rnacentral:rRNA from 1 species